rnacentral:lncRNA from 1 species
ACUGAAUUCUGCUAAAAUGUAGGCACAGUUUCUAUACUCCCUUACUGCUCAAAUCAUUUGGCCAGAGUUUACAAAAUUUGUAACUAAUUGCUGCUAUAGAUAACAUCACUAUUGUAGAACCUGAGAUUGGUCUUUUGAGAUGUUUCUCAUUCUUUGCAUUCUGGCAACCCGCUGACCUCAUCCAUACCCAUGACUAAUGGCUCAGCAGUCAUGUGGUCCCCACUAGAGUCAGAUUCAAGCACAAACAGAUCAUUUCCCUCGCCCGCAUGAUUCCAUCCCCAAACAAUCAGCAGUACCCAUUUUUUAGUCCUGUGCCCCUGAAACUAUCCUUGAAAAUCUCUAACCCCUGAUCCACUAGGGAGGUGAUUUGAGUAAUAAUAAACCUCCAUCCUCCUGUUUGGCAGACUUGGAGUCAUUAAAAUCUUUCUUUACUGCAAAUCACCAUCUGGAUAAAUUGGUUUUGUUUGUGCAGGAGGCCAGAAGAACUUGUGUGGGAAUUAUAAGAGUGGAUGGAGGAGCUGCCUAUCCCUGUCCCAUGGUCUUUUCCACAGAACAGCCUCACAAAGGGAAAGAGCCCUGGGUGGGGAUACAGUGGAAGCUUAUUCUCUUAGUGACCUGGGGACAUUGGCUCGAGAUGAAGCCUGGCAGGAGUGGCAACUCCAGGUUACAUCUCUGCUGGACACACUAGAUAUUGAAAUCUUUGUUCAUUCUCUUGGUUCUGGUUUGGCUGACCUGUCAGCUGGAGCUGGAGGACAUGCCUGGCAGGGGAGUGACCCCCAUGGGAAAGAGCAGGACUCAGCAGAGUGAAAGCAGCUGGGACCCAGAGAAGCCAGGGAGGUCUGACUCUUAGAAGCCAAAGACCAACAGGUGGGUGUCCUCAGGGGUAAAUGGACUACACUGGUACCUAUUGCAGUGGACUGGAAAAAGGUAAGAGGCUUUGGAUAUUCCAUUUUCUCUCUCAGCUCUUCAGCAGGAGAUUUGGGCCCUGGGCUGGUACUGCCCUGUAGCAGGGGCAGGAAAGACAGGAAUGGCUGCAUAUCAGGCCUAAGUCCAUGUCAUCCUCUCAGGCAUUGCCACUGAAGAUGGAGAAUUUUGUUCAGAGGCCCAGCCUUAGCACAUGGGAGGAGCCACCUUAUUAAAAUUAAUUUAAGAAAACAGUAUGCAUGCUUUAUUCUUCUAGAAUAAUUAUUAAUGUCAUGUUUUACAAUGUAUCUCUUAAAAGAAUGGUGAGAAUCAUCUACAUAAUGUAUGUUUUAGGUAGUCCUUUCUAUAAUUGCAGCUUUCACAUGUUCUGAUAGAAACCAUUUCCUUUAGGAACACACAGGCAGUAUCUCUGUGUUGAUUUCUACUGGGAAAUUUUUAUGCCAGGUGGAGAGAGUCACAUUUCCUAAUGAGAGAUGGAAAGCAUCUGACUACCAGAUAAAGUGUCCAAACGCUGCUGGUAAUGAUCAUGGGGCUGCGGGUAGAGGUCAGUUUAAGGAGGUGUCAUGGAAAGUAAUUUUGAAAGUCUUUUUUUUUUUUCCUUUUUUUUUUUUUUUUUUUUUUUCUUUUACAAAAUCAAUGGCAGAAGCCACCAGCUGGACCCUCCACCUGUUGGAAUGGAUGAGGGACAGAAAUCGAGCCCAGUAAAUUAAGAUUGAAAUCCAGAAGUGGGCAAGAGGUUUGAGAGGUCGACGGGUGUGAGAGGUGAAUGGGUGAAUGGUGAGAAUGUUCAAAACCUCUCCUUUCUCCAUAAAAAGAGAGCAUUUAGGCCGCUAAGCCAGACAGUGUCCAGGCCAGGGGGAGCAGGAUGUUAUCAGCUCUCCUGGGCAAAAGUGAGACUCCAGCAGUGUCCAGUUACCUCAUCCAGUUUGGGAUUUAUUCCUGUUUUAAAAAUGAUCCAACAGUAUGCAAUUUUGAAAAUUUACAAAAAUUCCUAUGCUACCAUUCAUAGAUAGCCAUGAUGGCCCUAAGAUGGUGAGAGAAUCAGAAUGGGGUUUGGGUUUACAUUGUGUAUUUUUUUCUCCCAAUAUCUACAGAAUUCCCUACAUCCAACUUUUUAAUGUAACCCAGUAGGUGUCAUUCCCUUUCGUAGUCCCGACCUUUCUGGUUCACGGUUGCAGACCCUUGGAAAACCCACACCCUUUCUGCUGUGAGGUACAGGCAGCCAUGUGGCAUCACCUCUAAACAUGCCUUCUGGGACAUCAAAUUGCUGAAUAAGUAAAAGUCAUUUCAGUAGAUAUUGAAGACCUCCGUUUUACCCCUCUCACACUUGUAAUUCUUCUACCAAGAGGUGAUGGAUUUUAGUGGUGAUUUGCUUUUAUAGGUUAGUGUAGAUUAACGCUUCUGCCAGGUGCAAUUUUUUCAUUGGGAAAAGCAUUUGGCAAAGUCUGGAGACAUUGCUGGUUGACAGAGCUGGGGGGGGAAGUCCUGCUGGCCUUGAAUGGGUAGAGUCCCCAGAUAGUGCUGAACAUUCUAGAGCUCACAAAGCCCCACCAGCAUGACCACUACAAAGUUCAAUGCUGAGGAGGAGUGGAGAGCCCUGAUGUGCCUCCCCUAGCUUCCCUGGAGCUUUUUUACCUUCUCCUUCCAUCAGUCUCUACCGCUUUCUCACCUCAGCUUGCUCUUUGAACUUUAAUGUCCUCCACUUGAACUUGCCCUUAGUUUAAGACCUGCUGUAAUCUCUGGACUUCCUUGGCCCCUUUCUGAUCCUUAGCAGGGUGUCCUCUAGAGGACCCCCUCAACUUUCCUGGAGUUUCCCAGGAUUCAGAUGCCCCUGCUCUGUGUGGGCACCAAGGGUAUGGCGGUGUACUUGUGUCCCUAAAGAUGCUGUCAUUCAGGACCUUUGUGUGAGAGCAACUGAGGUGAUACUACCCUCCCCUACUUUUCUUGGAACAUAAAAAUUUGUGGAAACCUUGUAGAGUAAAAUUUCUUACUGCUUGUAAAAAUUUAAAAAAUGUAUAUUUUUGCCUCUCAAACUGUACUGGGAAAAAUUUAUCACAGUCCCAGUCAUAAAAAAUGACACCUAAUCUGGGUUAUUUACUGUAUUAUUUGUUUAACAGCAAAAUAUUGGGAACAACCUAGACUUUCACCAGCACAAUGCUAAUUCAACAGAUUACCUUAUAUCUACACAAUAGAAUAUGAUGCAGCUGCAUAAACAGUAAAGACUCUUUCAGCUAUUCCUAUGGAAACAGCUCCAUGUUCUGUUUUAAUUUUAGCAUCUAAAUAUCACAGAAUAAGAUGCAGUUUUUCUACUAGAUCUGACCUUACAACACUAUUUUUAAUGUUUAUUUUAUUUAUUUGUUUUAUUUAAAAAGAGAGGGUCUCACUCUCAUACCUAGGCUGAAGUGCAGUGGCGAGAUCAUAAUUGACUGCAGCCUCAACUUUGUGAGCUCAAGAGAUCCUCCUGUCUCAGCCUUCUGAGUAGCUGGAAUCACAGGCAUGUGCCACCAUGCCUAGCUGAUU